CUCCAACCAUGUGAUCCAUCGAGAUGUGAAGAGCUGCAACAUCCUUCUCAGAAUGGACGGCUCUGUCAAGCUGGCUGACUUUGGCCUUCCUGCUCAACUCACCCCUGAGCACAGGAGAUAGAGCUCCGUGGCCAGCACUUCUGGGUGGAUGGCGCCUGAAGUCGUGACAGGUCACCCGUACGGCCCCAAAAUGGACAUAUGGUCUUUUGGAAUCGUGGG